GAGGCGAACCGGGAGAACUGAAACAUCUAAGUACCCCGAGGAAAAGAAAUCAACCGAGAUUCCCUCAGUAGCGGCGAGCGAACGGGGAUUAGCCCUUAAGCAUCUUGGAAGUUAGUGGAACGGUCCUGGAAAGGCCGGCGAUACAGGGUGAUAGCCCCGUACACGAAAACAACCUUGAUGUGAAAUCGAGUAGGGCGGGACACGUGACAUCCUGUCUGAAUAUGGGGGGACCAUCCUCCAAGGCUAAAUACUCCUGACUGACCGAUAGUGAACCAGUACCGUGAGGGAAAGGCGAAAAGAACCCCUGUGAGGGGAGUGAAAUAGAACCUGAAACCGUGUACGUACAAGCAGUGGGAGCCCUUCGGGGUGACUGCGUACCUUUUGUAUAAUGGGUCAGCGACUUACAUUUUGUAGCGAGGUUAACCGUAUAGGGGAGCCGUAGGGAAACCGAGUCUUAACUGGGCGUCUAGUUGCAAGGUGUAGACCCGAAACCGGGUGAUCUAGCCAUGGGCAGGUUGAAGGUUGAGUAACAUCAACUGGAGGACCGAACCCACUAACGUUGCAAAGUUAGGGGAUGACCUGUGGCUGGGGGUGAAAGGCCAAUCAAACUCGGAGAUAGCUGGUUCUCCCCGAAAGCUAUUUAGGUAGCGCCUCGGACGAAUACUACUGGGGGUAGAGCACUGUUUGGGCUAGGGGGUCAUCCCGACUUACCAACCCCAUGCAAACUCCGAAUACCAGUAAGUAAUAUCCGGGAGACACACGGCGGGUGCUAACGUCCGUCGUGAAGAGGGAAACAACCCAGACCGCCGGCUAAGGUCCCAAAGUUCUGGUUAAGUGGGAAACGAUGUGGGAAGGCUCAGACAGCUAGGAUGUUGGCUUAGAAGCAGCCAUCAUUUAAAGAAAGCGUAAUAGCUCACUAGUCGAGUCGGCCUGCGCGGAAGAUGUAACGGGGCUCAAACCAGGCACCGAAGCCGCGGAUUCACACUUAUGUGUGAGUGGUAGGGGAGCGUUCUGUAAGUCUGCGAAGGUGUAUCGAGAGGUAUGCUGGAGAUAUCAGAAGUGCGAAUGCUGACGUAAGUAACGAUAAAGGGGGUGAAAAGCCUCCUCGCCGGAAGACCAAGGGUUCCUGUCCAACGUUAAUCGGGGCAGGGUGAGUCGACCCCUAAGGCGAGGCCGAAAGGCGUAGUCGAUGGGAAGCAGGUUAAUAUUCCUGCACGACUUGUAAUUGCGAUGGGGGGACGGAGAAGGCUAGGUGGGCCAGGCGACGGUUGUCCUGGUGAAAGUGCGUAGGUGGUGUUUCUAGGCAAAUCCGGAGACACAACACUGAGACACGAGACGAACACACUACGGUGUGGAAGCCAUUGAUGCCCUGCUUCCAGGAAAAGCCUCUAAGCUUCAGAUUACAAGUCAUCGUACCCCAAACCGACACAGGUGGUCGGGUAGAGAAUACCAAGGCGCUUGAGAGAACUCGGGUGAAGGAACUAGGCAAAAUAGAACCGUAACUUCGGGAGAAGGUUCGCUCUUGACAGUGAAGUCCCUUGCGGAUGGAGCAGUUGGGAGUCGCAGUGACCAGAUGGCUGGGACUGUUUAUCAAAAACACAGCACUCUGCAAACACGAAAGUGGACGUAUAGGGUGUGACACCUGCCCGGUGCCGGAAGGUUAAUUGAUGGGGUUAGCGCAAGCGAAGCUCUUGAUCGAAGCCCCGGUAAACGGCGGCCGUAACUAUAACGGUCCUAAGGUAGCGAAAUUCCUUGUCGGGUAAGUUCCGACCUGCACGAAUGGUGUAACCAUGGCCAUGCUGUCUCCACCCGAGACUCAGUGAAAUCGAAUUCGCCGUGAAGAUGCGGUGUACCCGCGGCUAGACGGAAAGA
rnacentral:rRNA from 1 species